ACGGGGUGCAGCAGGCGCGAAAACUUUACAAUGCGAGCAAUCGUGAUAAGGAAACCCUGAGUGCCUGUCAAUGCAGGCUGUUCUGGUGUCUAACACCCACCAGGAGAAAGGGCGGGGCAAGACCGGUGCCAGCCGCCGCGGUAAUACCGGCUGCUCGAGUGAUAGCCGCUUUUACUGGGCUUAAAGCGUUCGUAGCUUGUCGUUAAGUCUCUGGGGAAAUCUUCUGGCUCAACCAGAAGGCGUCUCAGGGAAACUGGCGAUCUAGGAACCGGGAGAGGUGAGACGUACUUCGGGGGUAGGAGUGAAAUCUUGUAAUCCCCGAGGGACGACCGAUGGCGAAGGCAUCUCACCAGAACGGCUUCGACAGUGAGGGACGAAAGCUGGGGGAGCAAACCGGAUUAGAUACCCGGGUAGUCCCAGCCGUAAACGAUGUGCGUUAGGUGUGUCGGUGACCACGAGUCGCCGAGGUGCCGAAGGGAAACCGUGAAGCGCACCGCCUGGGAAGUACGGUCGCAAGGCUGAAACUUAGAGGAAUUGGCGGGGGAGCA
rnacentral:rRNA from 1 species